rnacentral:rRNA from 1 species
GUAGUCUGCAACUCGACUACAUGAAGCUGGAAUCGCUAGUAAUCGCGGAUCAGAAUGCCGCGGUGAAUACGUUCCCGGGUCUUGUACACACCGCCCGUCACACCAUGGGAGUCGGAAAUGCCCGAAGCCAGUGACCCAACGAAAGAGGGAGCUGUCGAAGGCAGGUCUGAUAACUGGGGUGAAGUCGUAACAAGGUACC